GGAUAUUAGGUAAGAGCAGUUGAAUAUUUGGUGAGCAGUUGGCAUCUUCAGCCGUUCAAGUGAAGACAACUCUCAAAACCUCAGUUAGAGAACAUGGUCUGGUGGCCCCCACUAAUGUCCAGACUAUAUUCGUUUCGUUUGGUUUUGUUAUAUAUGUUGGUAAUAAAAAAUUGAGUUGCAAAUAUAAUAUUACAUUCAUCUACAAAAUAGUGUAGUAAUUAGAUUUCUAGACUUAUCUUUAACCUUCGAUUAUCUUUCCCCUAUGCCCCCUCUAUUGUUGAUUUU
rnacentral:lncRNA from 1 species